rnacentral:tRNA from 1 species
GCGGUCGUAGCUCAGCUGGAUAGAGCGCGGGAUUCCUAAUCCCGGUGUCGCAGGUUCAAAUCCUGCCGAUCGCGCCA